rnacentral:tRNA from 1 species
CGGGAUGUAGCUCAGCUUGGUUAGAGCGCUUGCUUCGGGAGCAAGAGGUCGUGCGUUCAAAUCGCAUUAUCCCGACCA